rnacentral:rRNA from 1 species
AUACGUAGGGGGCGAGCGUAGUCCGGAAUGAUUGGGCGUAAAGGGCGCGUAGGAGGCCCGGUAAGCCUGGAGUGAAAGUCCUGUUUUUAAGAUGGGAUUUGCUUUGGAUACUGUCGGGCUUGAGUGCAUGAGAGGUAAGGGGAAUUCCCAGUGUAGCGGAGAAAUGCGUAGAGAUUGGGAGGAACACCAGUGCCGAAGACGACUUACUGGACUGUAACUGACGCUGAGGCGCGAAAGUGUGGGGAGCAAACAGGAUUAUAUACCCUGGUAGUCCACACUGUAAACGAUGAAUGCUAGGUGUAGGGGGUAUCGACCCCUUCUGUGCCGCAGUCAACACAAUAAGCACUCCGCCUGGGGAGUACGGCCGCAAGGUUGAAACUCAAAGGAAUUGACGGGG